rnacentral:rRNA from 1 species
UACAGAGGGUGCGAGCGUUAUUCGGAAUCACUGGGCAUAAAGGGCGCGUAGGCGGCUCCAAAAGUCAGGGGUGAAAUCCGGCAGCUUAACUGUCGCAGUGCCUUUGAUACUGUGGAGCUAGAGGGAGGUAGGGGUCUGUGGAACUUCCGGUGGAGCGGUGAAAUGCGUUGAUAUCGGAAGGAACGCCGGUGGCGAAAGCGACGGACUGGAUCUCUUCUGACGCUGAGGCGCGAAAGCCAGGGGAGCAAACGGG